rnacentral:rRNA from 1 species
UACGUAGGGUGCGAGCGUUGUCCGGAUUUAUUGGGCGUAAAGGGCUCGUAGGCGGCGUGUCGCGUCGGGAGUGAAAGACCGGGGCUUAACCCCGGUUCUGCUUCCGGUACGGGCAUGCUGGAGUGUGGCAGGGGAGACUGGAAUUCCUGGUGUAGCGGUGGAAUGCGCAGAUAUCAGGAGGAACACCGGUGGCGAAGGCGGGUCUCUGGGCCAUUACUGACGCUGAGGAGCGAAAGCGUGGGGAGCGAACAGGAUUAGAUACCCUGGUAGUCCACGCUGUAAACGUUGGGCGCUAGGUGUGGGGCCUGUUUCCACGGGUUCCGUGCCGGAGCUAACGCAUUAAGCGCCCCGCCUGGGGAGUACGGCCGCAAGGCUAAA